rnacentral:lncRNA from 1 species
GGGGACGAAAGAUACCAAAGGGACAGUCAAACUCAUAAAUCUAAAACAAACUGACAACGCCAUGGCUAAAAAUGAAAAAGACAAACAGAAAAACAGUAGUACACAUGACACAACAUAGAAAACUAAAGAAUAAACAACACGAACCCCACCAAAAACUAGGGGUGAUCUCAGGUGCUCCGGAAGGGUAAGCAGAUCCUGCUCCACAUG